rnacentral:rRNA from 1 species
CUACGUGCCAGCAGCCGCGGUAAUACGGAGGAUGCGAGCGUUAUCCGGAUUUAUUGGGUUUAAAGGGUGCGUAGGCGGCCUGUUAAGUCAGCGGUGAAAUCUAGGAGCUUAACUCCUAAAUUGCCAUUGAUACUGGCGGGCUUGAGUGUAGAUGAGGUAGGCGGAAUGCGUGGUGUAGCGGUGGAAUGCAUAGAUAUCACGCAGAACUCCGAUUGCGAAGGCAGCUUACUAAGGUACAACUGACGCUGAAGCACGAAAGCGUGGGUAUCAAACAGGAUUAGAUACCCUGGUAGUCCACGCAGUAAACGAUGAUAACUGGGCGUAUGCGAUAUACAGUAUGCUCCUAAGCGAAAGCGUUAAGUUAUCCACCUGGGGAGUACGCCGGCAACGGUGAAACCCAAAGGAAUUGACGGGGGCCCGCACAAGCGGAGGAACAUGUGGUUUAAUUCGAUGAUACGCGAGGAACCUUACCCGGGAU